CAGCCGCCGCGGGAAAACGAGGGGAGCAAGCGUUGUUCGGAAUUAUUGGGCGUAAAGGGCGCGUAGGCGGUUUGGCAAGUUUGGUGUGAAAUCUUCGGGCUCAACUCGAAGUCUGCAUCGAAAACUGCCGGGCUUGAGUAUGGGAGAGGUGAGUGGAAUUUCCGGUGUAGCGGUGAAAUGCGUAGAUAUCGGAAGGAACACCUGUGGCGAAAGCGGCUCACUGGACCAUAACUGACGCUGAGGCGCGAAAGCUAGGGGAGCAAACAGGAUUAGAUACCCGAGUAGUCCCUGUCUCUUAUAA
rnacentral:rRNA from 1 species